CUGCCAGACUCCUACGGGAGGCAGCAGUGAGGAAUAUUGGUCAAUGGGCGGAAGCCUGAACCAGCCAAGUCGCGUGAGGGAAGAAGGCCCUGCGGGUCGCAGACCUCUUUGGACGGGGAGCAAGGCCGCCGACGUGUCGGCGGAAGGAGAGUACCCGUAGAACAAGCAUCGGCUAACUCCGUGCCAGCAGCCGCGGUAAUACGUAGGGAGCGAGCGUUGUCCGGAAUUACUGGGUGUAAAGGGAGCGUAGGCGGGAUUGCAAGUUGGAUGUGAAAACUGCGGGCUCAACCCGGAGCGUGCAUUCAAAACUGCGAUUCUUGAGUGAAGUAGAGGCAAGCGGAAUUCCUAGUGUAGCGGUGAAAUGCGUAGAUAUUAGGAGGAACACCAGUGGCGAAGGCGGCUUGCUGGGCUUUUACUGACGCUGAGGCUCGAAAGUGUGGGGAGCAAACAGGAUUAGAUACCCGCGUA
rnacentral:rRNA from 1 species